rnacentral:misc_RNA from 1 species
UGGAAGUAAAAGUCGUAACAAGGUUUUCCGUAGGUGAAACCUGCGGAAGGAUCAUUACCGAGUGAGGGCCCUCUGGGUCCAACCUCCCACCCGUGUCUAUCGUACCUUGUUGCUUCGGCGGGCCCGCCGUUUCGACGGCCGCCGGGGAGGCCUUGCGCCCCCGGGCCCGCGCCCGCCGAAGACCCCAACAUGAACGCUGUUCUGAAAGUAUGCAGUCUGAGUUGAUUAUCGUAAUCAGUUAAAACUUUCAACAACGGAUCUCUUGGUUCCGGCAUCGAUGAAGAACGCAGCGAAAUGCGAUAAGUAAUGUGAAUUGCAGAAUUCAGUGAAUCAUCGAGUCUUUGAACGCACAUUGCGCCCCCUGGUAUUCCGGGGGGCAUGCCUGUCCGAGCGUCAUUGCUGCCCUCAAGCACGGCUUGUGUGUUGGGCCCCCGUCCCCCUCUCCCGGGGGACGGGCCCGAAAGGCAGCGGCGGCACCGCGUCCGGUCCUCGAGCGUAUGGGGCUUUGUCACCUGCUCUGUAGGCCCGGCCGGCGCCAGCCGACACCCAACUUUAUUUUUCUAAGGUUGACCUCGGAUCAGGUAGGGAUACCCGCUGAACUUAAGCAUAUCAAUAAGCGGA